UACAGAGGGGGCAAGCGUUGUCCGGACUUACUGGGCGUAAAGGGCGCGUAGGCGGCCUCCGCAAGUCAAUUGUGAAAUCUCCGGGCUUAACUCGGAAAGGUCAACUGAUACUGCGGGGCUAGAGUGCGGAAGGGGCAACUGGAAUUCUUGGUGUAGCGGUGAAAUGCGUAGAUAUCAAGAGGAACACCUGCGGCGAAGGCGGGUUGCUGGGCCGACACUGACGCUGAGGCGCGAAAGCUAGGGGAGCGAACGGG
rnacentral:rRNA from 1 species